GACAGAGGAUGCAAGCGUUAUCCGGAAUGAUUGGGCGUAAAGCGUCUGUAGGUGGCUUUUUAAGUCCGCCGUCAAAUCCCAGGGCUCAACCCUGGACAGGCGGUGGAAACUACCAAGCUGAGUACGGUAGGGGCAGAGGGGAUUCCGGUGGAGCGGUGAAAUGCGUAGAGAUCGGAAAGAACACCAACGGCGAAAGCAACUCUGCUGGGCCGACACUGACACUGAGAGACGAAGCUAGGGGGAGCGAAUGGG
rnacentral:rRNA from 1 species